rnacentral:rRNA from 1 species
UACGUAGGGGGCAAGCGUUGUUCGGAUUUACUGGGCGUAAAGGGAGCGUAGGCGGAAGGGUAAGUUAGGAGUGUAAUACACAGGCUCAACUUGUGUCUCGCUUUUAAUACUGCUUUUCUUGAAUAUGGGAGAGGGAAAUGGAAUUCCAGGUGUAGCGGUGGAAUGCGUAGAUAUCUGGAAGAACACCAGUAGCGUAGGCGAUUUCCUGGCCCAAUAUUGACGCUGAGGCUCGAAAGCUAGGGGAGCAAACAGG